CAGUAGCCACGGUAAUACGUAGGUGGCAAGCGUUGUCCGGAAUUAUUGGGCGUAAAGGGCUCGCAGGCGGUUUCUUAAGUCUGAUGUGAAAGCCCCCGGCUCAACCGGGGAGGGUCAUUGGAAACUGGGAAGCUUGAGUGCAGAAGAGGAGAGUGGAAUUCCACGUGUAGCGGUGAAAUGCGUAGAGAUGAGGAGGAACACCAGUGGCGAAGGCGACUCUCUGGUCUGUAACUGACGCUGAGGAGCGAAAGCGUGGGGAGCGAACAGGAUUAGAUACCCCCGUAGUCCCUGUCUCUUAUAA
rnacentral:rRNA from 1 species